AUAGUGUUUUACUUAGCAACAUGUAAUUGACAUGAAAAUGGAUGAGCUUUCCACCUAACAUUCAAAUGGUCCAUAUCUUGGUAUCAGCCUGCCAACUUAAGGCCACAGACCCUCUCCAGAUCCAUUUACCUUAAAUUUGUCAUGAAGGCAUUAACCUGACUCUGAAAUCAGAACUUAACUUGACACUUUCAAACAAAUGACCAAAGGGCUAUUUUUAGAGGCACAUAAAUUUAUUCAUCAAUCAUUUUCUCAUAUAAACUAAAUAUAUAAAAAUUUGCUCCUCUCUUUUAUUCAGAUCUGGCCACGUACCCUUCAACAUCUCCAUAAAAUUAUCUUUUAGAGAGAAGACCCAGUAUUUUCUGCUCAAAGAUUUAUUCUGAUUCAAGUAUCUUAGCUAUGUGACCUUCAUCUGUCAGCUUCCUUUCAAAAAUUAAACCCACAGAUUAACACGUUUUGAUUACUUAAAAAUUACAUACUUUGAAGGUACCGUUCUUCCUAUUAAUCAUCUGGUUACAAUGAAAGAAAUAUUUCCUAGUGGAAGGCUGGUAUGUUGCUUGUCAGACUUGAGAACAGAAGCCCAAACGGCAGGUGUGAGAAGAUACGCAAGACAUCUUUUUCUGGAAAAAUCUAUACUUGUUUCUUGAGGAAAAAUAUUGCCAAUUUCAGGGUAUUUCCUACAGUUUCAUUAACAAGAGCUCAACACAGAAAUAGCUGUUUGCUUAAUAUGUUUAUUGUCUCUGAAAAAUCAUAGAAAAUUGUGAUUUGGUUAUUAGCUCUCAGCAGCCCGUUCCUGAGCUCUGAGGAAGCUUGCUUUCUUCUGAGCUACCCGAUCUUUCUUCUGGGCAAGAGACAUUUUGGGACGGUUCCACCUACAAAACAA